GUGAAAGUUAUCUGGCUAGACAUCUGUCACCCCACUGAUCACCAGAGCUGUUUUAUCUGGAUGCCUAGCCUAAUGUCCCCUUCCUUCCACGCUACUCCAGCUCCAUGUGUAUGCACACUCAGUUGAAAAGGUUAGGCUCAGAUAAAGGAGGACCAGUCUUUGAUCAAGGGUACCAGUAGUUGUGCUCCCCUGAUAGAACUUCCAAGUAAGCUNUCAAGGAGUUUAUGCAACAAGGAUAACAGGAGUCUAAAUACUCCUAUUUGGGAAGUCCAGAGAGCUCAUAACUUCCUGAUUAUUUUCCUUUCAUU
rnacentral:snRNA from 1 species